UCCAGACUCCUACGGGAGGCAGCAGUGAGGAAUAUUGGUCAAUGGACGAGAGUCUGAACCAGCCAAGUAGCGUGAAGGAUGACUGCCCUAUGGGUUGUAAACUUCUUUUAUAAAGGAAUAAAACGAGGCACGUGUGCCUUUUUGCAUGUACUUUAUGAAUAAGGAUCGGCUAACUCCGUGCCAGCAGCCGCGGUAAUACGGAGGAUCCGAGCGUUAUCCGGAUUUAUUGGGUUUAAAGGGUGCGUAGGCGGAAGGUUAAGUCAGCGGUCAAAUGUCGGUGCUCAACACCGGCCUGCCGUUGAAACUGGUCUUCUUGAGUGAGCGAGAAGUAUGCGGAAUGCGUGGUGUAGCGGUGAAAUGCAUAGAUAUCACGCAGAACUCCGAUUGCGAAGGCAGCAUACCGGCGCUCAACUGACGCUGAGGCACGAAAGCGUGGGGAUCGAACAGGAUUAGAUACCCUUGUAU
rnacentral:rRNA from 1 species